ensembl:misc_RNA Metazoa_SRP Metazoan signal recognition particle RNA
GCUGGGCAUGGUGGUGAAUGCCUGUAGUCCUAGCUACCCGGGAGGCUGAGGCAGGAGAAUUGCUUGAGACCAGGAGUUUGAGGUUACAAUGAUUAUGCCACUGCACCCCAGCCUGGGCAACAGAGCAAGACCCUGUUUCAA